rnacentral:rRNA from 1 species
GUUAAGUGACUAAGCGUACAUGGUGGAUGCCUUGGCAGUCAGAGGCGAUGAAGGACGUACUAACCUGCGAUAAGCUGUGAGAAGUCGGUAAGAGACGCUAUUACUCACAGAUUUCCGAAUGGGGAAACCCACCCGAGAUAACUCGGGUAUCUGUUACUGAAUACAUAGGUAACAGAGGCGAACCGGGAGAACUGAAACAUCUAAGUACCCCGAGGAAAAGAAAUCAACCGAGAUUCCCUCAGUAGCGGCGAGCGAACGGGGAUUAGCCCUUAAGCAUCUUGGAAGUUAGUGGAACGGUCCUGGAAAGGCCGGCGAUACAGGGUGAUAGCCCCGUACACGAAAACAACCUUGAUGUGAAAUCGAGUAGGGCGGGACACGUGACAUCCUGUCUGAAUAUGGGGGGACCAUCCUCCAAGGCUAAAUACUCCUGACUGACCGAUAGUGAACCAGUACCGUGAGGGAAAGGCGAAAAGAACCCCUGUGAGGGGAGUGAAAUAGAACCUGAAACCGUGUACGUACAAGCAGUGGGAGCCCUUCGGGGUGACUGCGUACCUUUUGUAUAAUGGGUCAGCGACUUACAUUUUGUAGCGAGGUUAACCGUAUAGGGGAGCCGUAGGGAAACCGAGUCUUAACUGGGCGUCUAGUUGCAAGGUGUAGACCCGAAACCGGGUGAUCUAGCCAUGGGCAGGUUGAAGGUUGAGUAACAUCAACUGGAGGACCGAACCCACUAACGUUGCAAAGUUAGGGGAUGACCUGUGGCUGGGGGUGAAAGGCCAAUCAAACUCGGAGAUAGCUGGUUCUCCCCGAAAGCUAUUUAGGUAGCGCCUCGGACGAAUACUACUGGGGGUAGAGCACUGUUUGGGCUAGGGGGUCAUCCCGACUUACCAACCCCAUGCAAACUCCGAAUACCAGUAAGUAAUAUCCGGGAGACACACGGCGGGUGCUAACGUCCGUCGUGAAGAGGGAAACAACCCAGACCGCCGGCUAAGGUCCCAAAGUUCUGGUUAAGUGGGAAACGAUGUGGGAAGGCUCAGACAGCUAGGAUGUUGGCUUAGAAGCAGCCAUCAUUUAAAGAAAGCGUAAUAGCUCACUAGUCGAGUCGGCCUGCGCGGAAGAUGUAACGGGGCUCAAACCAGGCACCGAAGCCGCGGAUUCACACUUAUGUGUGAGUGGUAGGGGAGCGUUCUGUAAGUCUGCGAAGGUGUAUCGAGAGGUAUGCUGGAGAUAUCAGAAGUGCGAAUGCUGACGUAAGUAACGAUAAAGGGGGUGAAAAGCCUCCUCGCCGGAAGACCAAGGGUUCCUGUCCAACGUUAAUCGGGGCAGGGUGAGUCGACCCCUAAGGCGAGGCCGAAAGGCGUAGUCGAUGGGAAGCAGGUUAAUAUUCCUGCACGACUUGUAAUUGCGAUGGGGGGACGGAGAAGGCUAGGUGGGCCAGGCGACGGUUGUCCUGGUGAAAGUGCGUAGGUGGUGUUUCUAGGCAAAUCCGGAGACACAACACUGAGACACGAGACGAACACACUACGGUGUGGAAGCCAUUGAUGCCCUGCUUCCAGGAAAAGCCUCUAAGCUUCAGAUUACAAGUCAUCGUACCCCAAACCGACACAGGUGGUCGGGUAGAGAAUACCAAGGCGCUUGAGAGAACUCGGGUGAAGGAACUAGGCAAAAUAGAACCGUAACUUCGGGAGAAGGUUCGCUCUUGACAGUGAAGUCCCUUGCGGAUGGAGCAGUUGGGAGUCGCAGUGACCAGAUGGCUGGGACUGUUUAUCAAAAACACAGCACUCUGCAAACACGAAAGUGGACGUAUAGGGUGUGACACCUGCCCGGUGCCGGAAGGUUAAUUGAUGGGGUUAGCGCAAGCGAAGCUCUUGAUCGAAGCCCCGGUAAACGGCGGCCGUAACUAUAACGGUCCUAAGGUAGCGAAAUUCCUUGUCGGGUAAGUUCCGACCUGCACGAAUGGUGUAACCAUGGCCAUGCUGUCUCCACCCGAGACUCAGUGAAAUCGAAUUCGCCGUGAAGAUGCGGUGUACCCGCGGCUAGACGGAAAGACCCCGUGAACCUUUACUACAGCUUGGCACUGAACAUUGAACCUACAUGUGUAGGAUAGGUGGGAGGCUUUGAAGGCGUGACGCCAGUUGCGCUGGAGCCGUCCUUGAAAUACCACCCUUGUAUGUUUGAUGUUCUAACGCAGGGCCCUGAAUCGGGCUCGCGGACAGUGCCUGGUGGGUAGUUUGACUGGGGCGGUCUCCUCCCAAAGAGUAACGGAGGAGCACGAAGGUUGGCUAAUCCUGGUCGGACAUCAGGAGGUUAGUGCAAUGGCAUAAGCCAGCUUAACUGCGAGACGGACAGGUCGAGCAGGUACGAAAGUAGGUCAUAGUGAUCCGGUGGUUCUGAAUGGAAGGGCCAUCGCUCAACGGAUAAAAGGUACUCCGGGGAUAACAGGCUGAUACCGCCCAAGAGUUCAUAUCGACGGCGGUGUUUGGCACCUCGAUGUCGGCUCAUCACAUCCUGGGGCUGAAGUCGGUCCCAAGGGUAUGGCUGUUCGCCAUUUAAAGUGGUACGCGAGCUGGGUUCAGAACGUCGUGAGACAGUUCGGUCCCUAUCUGCCGUGGGCGUUGGAUGAUUGAAGGGAGUUGCUCCUAGUACGAGAGGACCGGAGUGAACGAACCUCUGGUGUUCGGGUUGUCACGCCAGUGGCACUGCCCGGUAGCUAAGUUCGGAAUCGAUAACCGCUGAAAGCAUCUAAGCGGGAAGCGAGCCCUGAGAUGAGUCAUCCCUGACCCCUUGAGGGUCCUAAAGGGCCGUUGGAGACCACAACGUUGAUAGGUGGGGUGUGUAAGCACGGCGACGUGUUGAGCUAACCCAUACUAAUUACCCGUGAGGCUUAACCAUA